AUGAGUCCCUUCUAUCCGCGUCCAUCCUCCUCGGCCUUUUCCAGGGUGGGCAUCUCUUUCCUUACGUUUCUGGAUACACCUCCCUCUGUGCCCAAUAUUCAACGCCGCCCUCUCCUACGUUUUCUUCUCCUCCCUCAUGGCAUCUCCACCUUCAUCACUGAUACCUUCCCCCUCUCCACCUUCAUCACCAAUACAUUCCCCGUCUCCACCUCUUCCAUCCUUUAUAUGCUGCCACCACCUGGGUAUUCUGUUCCUCAUGGUAUGUUUUGUCGUCUUCGUUGCUCUCUCUAUGGCUAUCCUGUCCAUAUUUUGAGCCGGUUUGUUUUUGCUCCCACUUUGGUUCACUACCGUCACCUUCUUCCUGUUUACGAUAUCUUAGUGGCAGAAUCUCUCACCGUCUCUUCUUUCCCCGUUUGA
rnacentral:rRNA from 1 species